UGCAGUCGAGCGGUAACAGAUCCAGCUUGCUGGAUGCUGACGAGCGGCGGACGGGUGAGUAAUGCAUAGGAAUCUGCCCGAUAGUGGGGGAUAACCUGGGGAAACCCAGGCUAAUACCGCAUACGUCCUACGGGAGAAAGGGGGCUCCGGCUCCCGCUAUGGGAUGAGCCUAUGUCGGAUUAGCUAGUUGGUGAGGUAACGGCUCACCAAGGCCACGAUCCGUAGCUGGUCUGAGAGGAUGAUCAGCCACAUCGGGACUGAGACACGGCCCGAACUCCUACGGGAGGCAGCAGUGGGGAAUAUUGGACAAUGGGGGAAACCCUGAUCCAGCCAUGCCGCGUGUGUGAAGAAGGCCCUCGGGUUGUAAAGCACUUUCAGCGAGGAAGAACGCCUAACGGUUAAUACCCGCUAGGAAAGACAUCACUCGCAGAAGAAGCACCGGCUAACUCCGUGCCAGCAGCCGCGGUAAUACGGAGGGUGCAAGCGUUAAUCGGAAUUACUGGGCGUAAAGCGCGCGUAGGUGGCUUGAUAAGCCGGUUGUGAAAGCCCCGGGCUCAACCUGGGAACGGCAUCCGGAACUGUCAAGCUAGAGUGCAGGAGAGGAAGGUAGAAUUCCCGGUGUAGCGGUGAAAUGCGUAGAGAUCGGGAGGAAUACCAGUGGCGAAGGCGGCCUUCUGGACUGACACUGACACUGAGGUGCGAAAGCGUGGGUAGCAAACAGGAUUAGAUACCCUGGUAGUCCACGCCGUAACGAUGUCGACCAGCCGUUGGGUGCCUAGCGCACUUUGGUGGCGAAGUUAACGCGAUAAGUCGACCGCCUGGGGAGUACGGCCGCAAGG
rnacentral:rRNA from 1 species